GACGAACGCUGGCGGCGCGCUUAACACAUGCAAGUCGAGCGAGAACCGGGGCUUCGGCCCCGGGGACAGCGGCGAACGGGUGAGUAACACGUGAGUAACCUGCCCUCGGCACCGGAAUAGCCCGGGGAAACCCGGAUUAAUGCCGGAUGGCCCCUCUGCCCUUCGGGGCGGCGGGAAACGGUAGCUUCGGCCUCCGGCCGAGGAUGGGCUCGCGGCGGAUUAGCUUGUUGGCGGGGUAACGGCCCACCAAGGCGACGAUCCGUAGCUGGUCUGAGAGGACGAGCAGCCACACUGGGACUGGGACACGGCCCAGACUCCUACGGGAGGCAGCAGUGGGGGAUCUUGCGCAAUGGGCGAAAGCCUGACGCAGCGACGCCGCGUGCGGGAAGAAGGCCCUCGGGUUGUAAACCGCUUUCAGGAGGGACGAAGCCACUCGGGUGAACAGCCCAGAGGGUGACGGUACCUCCAGAAGAAGCCCCGGCUAACUACGUGCCAGCAGCCGCCGUAACAC
rnacentral:rRNA from 1 species